CCACGGUCAUUAUGACAUCCAAGAAGGCAGUUCAGGGCCACCCACAACUUGAUCCAUUUCACUUGUCCAGAGGUCACCACAAGCGAUGUUCUUGUGAGCCUUACUUUGCCCAGGCAGGUGUGCUUACAAGGAGUCUACAUGAACAGCAUCUGACUGGGCAGGGCAUGGCACACAGCUUGGCCUCGAGGUUAGAGGAGCUGAUUAGUGUACUUCCUACUCUCUUCUUCAGUUUUUUUCUUUCUUUAUUCUCACAAUACCUUGCCCACUGCACUCAGUAUUUAGCUCCAGACAUUGAAAAAAAAAUGCCCUACUGCCAUCAAUCUUACAUCCCAACUCUUUGAGGAUCUUGUCACUUUCUAUGUGUAUCUCUGCACAAAAAUGAGGGACACUGGAAGAAGUUCACUCUCUUCCAGUUCUUUCCCUUUUCUAACCUGUACUUGUGGAUGAUACUGGAAAUUUAAAAACACUGGUAGCAUCCUCAAAAUGCCUGGAAUGCAGGUGGCUCCCUAGACCCUCAUAACAUCAUGGCAUGUAGCCAAGGACAUAUACUGCUCCAACACUAGAACUGCUCCGAAGUCAACCACAAAUCAUGUUCCUGGUGAGCCUAACUCUACCAAGACAGGUACUGACUACACAAGAUCUACAAGAUAAGUACCUUAUAGGCAGAGCAUUAUACACAGCAGGGCUGUGUCUGAUCAUCCAUCCCAAGACCCUAUGCUGUGUUAGAAGAACCUAUGAUUUCUGUCCCCAUCACAUCUUUGUGGCCUCAUGCAAGAUAUAGCCAGAUCCCUAGAUAAUAUCCACUCACUGCUUUGUAACCAAAAUCUCUUGAUCACUAGAUAUCCAAGGUCCACUUCUCUUGCCUACUUGAAAUCUACAAAAACUGAGAGAGACUAGAAUAUCGUAUCUCUCUUUCAUAGGAAUCAAUUUUCCCUCUGUAAGCUUUCUAUUUUUACAUUGUGAAGAUAGGCCCACUGGUAUCAACCUGAGGAAGCCAGCGCCACAGAUCCCUCUCAGGGUCAUUAUGACAUCAAGGCAGGCAACUCAAGGAAAUAUGCAACUCCACCCACACCACUGGUCCAAAGCCAGCACAAAUGAUGUUAUUGUGAGUCUUACUCUAUCCAGGCAGGUCCUUGCACGGAAAAUUUAAGUGAAAAGCACCUGUCUGAGCAGGGCAUGGCACACUGCUUAGCCUGGAGGUGGAGGACCUGCUUAGUUCACUUCCCACACUCCUUCAAUUUUCUUCUCCUCAACACACAUAGCUAACUGCACUGAAGAUUUAGCUACAUACAUUGAAAACGUUGACCCACGGCCCCGAAGCUUGACUCUGACCUAAUCAGGAUCUGACUACCAUUCUAUGUGUAUCUGCAUGAGAUGAGUUACCAUGGCUAAAAGCUUUCUCCCUUUAAUUCCUUUUCUGAUAUGAACACUGUUUCUCUUUUCUAUCCUGUAGAUGCUGAUGCUAUUAAAAAUAUUCAAGCAAAAGAAAUAUCCUAAAGAUGCCUAUGACCAUGUGGCUGCCAGGACUCUUAUGACAUCAUGGCAAGCAGCCCAAGAACACAUGCAGCUGCAACACUAGAACUGUUCCAAGGUCAAGCACAAAUGAUGUUCCUGUGAGCCUUACUCUACCCAGACAGAUACUGAUUACACAUGGUCUACAUGAAAUCACCUUUACAUCUGUAUACUCUGUGUUCACAUUGAGAAGAGAAGACCAAUGAAAUCAUCUUGAGGAAGUUGGAGCCGCACAUAGCCCAGGGUGACAAUGGAGUCAAAACUGGCAGGUAUCACCUUGCCCUCUGUAAAAUCUCUGUGUUCACAUUGUGAGGAGAAGACCUCUGACAUCUUCCCGAGAAUGCUAGAGGCACAAAUGAAACCAGGGUCAUUAUGACAUCAAGGACAAUUCCGGGCCACCCGCAAUUCCAUCCAUGUCACUGGUCCAGAGGCCACCACAAAUGAUGUUAUGGUGAGCUUUACUCUACACAGUCAGGCCGUUCACAGGGAGUCUACGUGAACAGCACCUGAAUGGACAAGGCGCUGCACACAGCAAGGCACCAAGGUCACAUUUUCAGAUGUGGACUCCUGAGAUCAUAAUCUAGCUACGAUUGUCACCUAGGUGUCUUCUUGGCCCUCCCUGAUAUCUUGGACUAACAUCACCUGGAGCCCCACAUUCAUCAUUGUCCAAAGGCCACCAGUCAAGAUCUGAACAACUGGCAUCAACAUCUAGGGAUGUUUCACAGUUCUGUGACUUCCAGGGACUACCCAAUACCUUGGAAUAAUAUCACCUGGAGACACACACCCUUUGAACUUCCAAGGCCACCGGAUUCAAAGGAUUCUCAAAAUGUAGAGAUACCUGUGGCUCCCCAAAACCUCAUGACAUCAUGGCAAGGACAUAAGGGAAACAUCAGCUUCACCACUUGAAAUCUUCUAAGCUCAAGCAGCAUUGAUGUUUCCUGCAAGCUUUCCUCAACCGAGUCACUAUGAACAUCAAAUAUAAGUGCACAGAACCGCUUUGAGCAGGACACUGCACACAGGGUGGAUUCAGUGUCUGGGUUCACAUUGUGAGGAGCAGAUGAAUGACAUCUUCCCGAGGAUGGUAGAGGCACAGAUGACUCAAGGGUCAUUAUAAUAUCAAGGCAGACAGCUCAAGGACUCCUGCAACUCCAAGCCCACCACUGCUCCAGAGGCCACCACAAAAGAUAUUCUUCUGAGAGUUACUCUACCUAGACAGUGUGGUUCACACAGCUUCUUGGUGAACUGAAUCUCUUUGGGCAGGGUACGGCACUCAGCAGGACUCACAGUAGGAGAAGAUACCCUUUCACUCUAACAUCCACACAUACUGAUGGUCAUCGUGCAUACUCUGAUGCCACAACAAACAUAUAUCCAACCACCAUCAAAACAGCGAUCCACUGUCAUCCAACCUGCUUCUACUUUGCUAGAGAAUAUGUUCAGCUGGUCUACACGUUUGUAGAGAUAUACAUGAACACAGGCAAAUGCACAACCAUCAAGGUGAAUGUGAUUCU
ensembl:lncRNA